rnacentral:rRNA from 1 species
CCUACGGGUGGCAGCAGUGAGGAAUAUUGGUCAAUGGUCGGGAGACUGAACCAGCCAAGCCGCGUGAGGGAGGAAGGUACAGAGUAUCGUAAACCUCUUUUGUCAGGGAACAAAGACUGGGACGCGUCUCCGGAUGAGUGUACCUGAAGAAAAAGCAUCGGCUAACUCCGUGCCAGCAGCCGCGGUAAUACGGAGGAUGCGAGCGUUAUCCGGAUUUAUUGGGUUUAAAGGGUGCGCGGCGGGUCGGUAAAGUCAGCGGUCAAAGCCCGGGGCUCAACCCCGGACCGCCGUUGAAACUGGCAGUCUCGAGUUGGAGAGAGGUAUGCGGAAUGCGCGGUGUAGCGGUGAAAUGCAUAGAGAUCGCGCAGAACUCCGAUUGCGAAGGCAGCAUGCCGGCUCCACACUGACGCUGAGGCACGAAAGCGUGGGUAUCGAACAGGAUUAGAUACCCCAGUAGUC